rnacentral:rRNA from 1 species
AGCGAACGUUUGCGGCGGGCUUAACACAUGCAAGUCGAACGAGAAUCCCUUCGGGGAGGAAAGUGGCGCACGGGUGCGUAACACGUGGAUAACCAACCCAUUGGUUUGGGACAACACCGGGAAACUGGUGCUAAUACCAGAUGUGUCGCAGCUGUCUUCAGGCGGUUGCGAGAAAGGCCCGCAAGGGUCGCCAACGGACGGGUCCGCGUCCCAUCAGCUAGUUGGUGAGGUAAUGGCUCACCAAGGCAAAGACGGGUAGCUGGUCUGAGAGGAUGAUCAGCCACACUGGAACUGAGACACGGUCCAGACUCCUACGGGAGGCAGCAGUGGGGAAUAUUGCGCAAUGGGCGAAAGCCUGACGCAGCCACGCCGCGUGAGCGAUGAAGGUCUUCGGAUCGUAAAGCUCUGUGGGGGGAGAAGAAGAAAGCCGGUGAAGAGCCGGCCCUGACGGUAUCCCCUUAGCAAGCACCGGCUAACUCCGUGCCAGCAGCCGCGGUAAAGUACAG